AGUGAACGCUGGCGGUAGGCCUAACACAUGCAAGUCGAACGGCAGCACAGGAGAGCUUGCUCUCUGGGUGGCGAGUGGCGGACGGGUGAGGAAUACAUCGGAAUCUACCUUUUCGUGGGGGAGAACGUAGGGAAACUUACGCUAAUACCGCAUAAGAACUUCGGGUGAAAGCCGGGGACCUCCGGGACUGGCGCGGAGAGAGGAGCCAAUGUCGGAUUAGCGUGUGGGCGGGGUAAAAGCCCACCAAGGCGACGCUCCGUAGCUGGUCUGAGAGGAUGAUCAGCCACACUGGAACUGAGACACGGUCCAGACUCCUACGGGAGGCAGCAGUGGGGAAUAUUGGACAAUGGGCGCAAGCCUGAUCCAGCCAUACCGCGUGGGUGAAGAAGGCCUUCGGGUUGUAAAGCCCUUUUGUUGGGAAAGAAAUCCUGCCGGUUAAUAACCAGUAGGGAUGACGGUACCCAAAGAAUAAGCACCGGCUAACUUCGUGCCAGCCGCCGCGGUAAAAC
rnacentral:rRNA from 1 species